rnacentral:rRNA from 1 species
UGUAAGCGUAUACCAAAGUUGUUGCAGUUAAAACGCUCGUAGUCGGAAUUUGGCAGUUCCGGAUGUGUGCACGUCGUGUGCGCACUUCGCGGGGAUUGCUUUUGUGGUCUUGCGUAGGAUGAGGCACUUUUAUUAGUGAACGUCCUCACGCAACCACUUUUUACUGUGAGAAAAUCAGAGUGCUCAAAGCAGGCAUUUGCCGUGAAUGUAUUAGCAUGGAAUAAUAGAAUAGGACUUGGUUCUAUUUUGUUGGUUUGUUGGGACUGAGUAAUGAUCAAGAGGGACAGUUGGGGGCAUUUGUAUUUCGGUGCUAGAGGUGAAAUUCUUAGAUUACCGAAAGACAAGCUGCUGCGAAAGCGUCUGCCAAGGAUGUUUUCAUUGA